rnacentral:tRNA from 1 species
AAUAGGGUCAGCUAAAAAAGCUUUUGGGCUCAUGCCCCAAAAAUGUCGGUUAACCCCUCCCCUGUUA